GACGAACGCUGGCGGCGUGCUUAACACAUGCAAGUCGAACGGUGAAGCGCCUUCCUUUUUGGUGGGUGUGGAUGAGUGGCGAACGGGUGAGUAACACGUGAGUAACCUGCCCCCUUCUUCUGGAUAACCGCAUGAAAGUGUUGCUAAUACGGGAUAUUCUGGGUCUGUCGCAUGAUGGGUCUGGGAAAGAUAUUGUUUCGGUGGGGGAUGGGCUCGCGGCCUAUCAGCUUGUUGGUGGGGUGAUGGCCUACCAAGGCGGUGACGGGUAGCCGGCCUGAGAGGGUGGACGGUCACACUGGGAAUGAGACACGGCCCAGACUCCUACGGGAGGCAGCAGUGGGGAAUAGUGCACAAUGGGCGCAAGCCUGAUGCAGCGACGCCGCGUGAGGGAUGGAGGCCUUCGGGUUGUGAACCUCUUUCGCCAGUGAAGCAGGCCUGCCUCGUUUGUGGGUGGGUUGACGGUAGCUGGAGAAGAAGCGCCGGCUAACUACGUG
rnacentral:rRNA from 1 species